rnacentral:rRNA from 1 species
UACGAAGGGGGCUAGCGUUGCUCGGAUUGACUGGGCGUAAAGGGCGCGUAGGCGGUUCGUACAGUCAGACGUGAAAUUCCUGGGCUCAACCUGGGGGCUGCGUUUGAUACGUGCGGACUUGAGUGCGGAAGAGGGUCGUGGAAUUCCCAGUGUAGAGGUGAAAUUCGUAGAUAUUGGGAAGAACACCGGUGGCGAAGGCGGCGACCUGGUCCGAUACUGACGCUGAGGUGCGAAAGCUAGGGGAGCAAACAGG